AGUGGGAAUAUUGCACAAUGGGCGCAAGCCUGAUGCAGCCAUGCCGCGUGUAUGAAGAAGGCCUUCGGGUUGUAAAGUACUUUCAGCAGUGAGGAAGUGGGUAUGUUAAUAGCAUACUCAUUUGACGUUAGCUGCAGAAGAAGCACCGGCUAACUCCGUGCCAGCAGCCGCGGUAAUACGGAGGGUGCGAGCGUUAAUCGGAAUUACUGGGCGUAAAGCGCAUGCAGGUGGUUUGUUAAGUCAGAUGUGAAGCCCGGGGCUCAACCUCGGAAUUGCAUUUGAAACUGGCAAACUAGAGUACUGUAGAGGGGGUAGAAUUUCAGGUGUAGCGGUGAAAUGCGUAGAGAUCUGAAGGAAUACCGGUGGCGAAGGCGGCCCCCUGGACAGAUACUGACACUCAGAUGCGAAAGCGUGGGGAGCAAACAGGAUUAGAUACCCUGGUAG
rnacentral:rRNA from 1 species